ensembl:lncRNA
UCACAUCAUAGAUGGUUUAUUCGUGUGCUUUUUAGUUCCAACCUGGGCCACAACAGACCCAUGACAACAACUUCUUUAAUCACAUUAUUAAAGAGCUUUCUGUAGCUGCAGUCACAUCCUCCUGUCACAAGUCCUUAUGGAAUUCUUCAUAACUUUUGUUGCUGUUACGAAGAACUGAAGAACAGAUACAGCUGUCUGUGUUUGGCAACUCAAGAAGUAAGUUGUUAAAUACAAAAUUGUAGUUUUUUGAAGCUUUCUUUUUUAAUUAAUUUAGAAACUGAAUAUGGGAUCUGUAAGGAGUAAAUAUUUAAACAAGACAUUCUUCAGGCGAAAUAAAGACACUCAAGACAGUUUAGAUGGUAACAACGUGCGCACGCUGGGUGAGUGCUGCUGUCUCAGGCUCACAACCAGCGUAUGCGGCAGUUCUUUAUUUAUAGCGUUUCAGAGUAUGUGUGUGUGUGUGAAGUUUAUGAUCUCAGAGUGUGUGUGUGUGAUUCUGAAGAAUGGGCCCCUCUUUGUAUUUGGGAGUGUAGAUAAGAACGUCCUGCUCUCCCCUUCCUGGGAGUGAAACGGCUCGUAGAGAGCCAGGUACAGAGGAGAUGUACUGGGUGAAUCAUAUCUGAGAACACUAUGCCUUUGUCUUUACUUCAGCUUCACUUCUAGUGAAACAGUAAAAUCAUAAAAUACAAUUAAAUAGAAAGAAUAAAUGGGUAAACAACUAUUAACACUAAAAUUAAAGAUAAACUUUCAAUAACAUAUGAAUAGAAGUGGGAAAUCUCUUAACAUAUCCCUCCUGUUGUUAAUUUGUUUUACACAUUUUAACUUUUAUCAGCAUACAGUCUCUUGACAGUGCAUUUUUAACUGUUGCUUCAUUAUUAACAGGAGUGUCUUUUUUGUUUUAGUUACAGGUUGUUUCUUCAUCUUCGUCGUCGGUGUUUGAGUCAGUGUCGGCGUGCUCCAGCAGUGUCAUAAUUUCUUUUUGGCCGACAGGGUCCGGUGUAAUAGCUGUGGCUAUCAGUCUGUUGAUCAUGGAUCUUAUGCAGGAAUACAACAACAGCCACAUAGGGUCAAUAUGGCUGCAAAAACAGCUAUUGACACUAGGAUUGAUGACACUUAGGCUGCGGUACUUUCCAAACAUGUCCAUCCAGCUGUCCCACAUGGAAGUGUCCACUCCAGAAUGUUCUUUCAUUCUCUCAUUCAGGGUCUUCAGUCUUUCCAGGGCUCUGGUCAGACUGUCGUCAGCUGCAGUGUUGUUAGGUAUGAAGGUGCAGCAUUGUUCUCCACUUCUUUGUUUCUCGUUGCUGCUGCGCGUUCUUCUGGGCAUAGGCUGCAGCUUAAAAUGGUUCCCCUUUCAGGACACGUCACAUUUGGAGCCUGCCGGUAAAUCCUCGGGCAGUGUGGGUCACAUGGGUUGCUGGUGCAGGCCGUGUUCAUGCCUACCAGGGCCAGUGAUAAGAAUACUGUGAACACGAGCAUGGAACACAUCGUUGUGACAGUGGUCAGUUGGCAUCCUCUUGUCCAGCAUCGGCGUCGUCUGUGCGGUUUCUCACCCUCAGGGGCAUCCUGGUUUGCAUUUAGUAUUUCCAUCUCCAUCAGGUCUCCCUCUGUGAGCGUUUCUCCUCUUCUCGACCGUGGACACACCCUUGGCCUCCAAUGAGUAGACACCCAGCAAGAGGAGCGAGUGUCUCAGUGUUGCCACUGAUAGCCCUUCUCCCCACCGAGUGAACACCAGAGGUUAGAGCGGUCUGCAGUCUAGACUUUAUUGCUCACUUUUCUGCUCGGGAGUUUGUGGUUCUUGGAUUGGUUCAACCCUUUUUCAACCUGCAAGAAACUGGAAGAGAAUCACUCGGCAGUUGAUUGUUCAAAACUAUUUCUCUGUUUUCCAGCAACUUUGUCAUCCACUCUGCUAGAGUUGUUUCUCUUAUUGACUUGUUUGAAAUUUAAUGUAUAGAAGUGUCUUUAACUAGUGUUUUUAACUAAUUAGACUCCCUCCUGUUGACGCAUGAACAACUUCAUGUGUCACAAAAGCUACUGUUUUGUAUAAAGACUUGGUUGUAACGGUUUCCCAUCACAUAUGAUCAGAUCAUCCUGUAGAAUUGCUCCGCACCUCAACCAUUUCUUUUCGCUCUAGUAAUGGCACAAAUGUGUGGUUCAUUUCUCAAGAUAUCCAGUGGAAUUUGCAUAGAGGUGUUGUCACCAUAAGUGCGUCUACUGUUUGUACUGCUACUGAUUUUGCUGCUUGGUCUGCAAAAUUGUUGCCCUCUGUUAUGCCAUAUUUUCAAAAUGGCGUACUGCAGAUCAAAUUCAUUAUUGAUAAGUCAAACCAACGAAAAAACAAAAACUAGAAGUCAAAAAAAAUUAUUCUUUCGUUAACAGAAAUAAAAAUAAAAAUAAAAGUAAAACUAUCUAAAACUGCAAUGAGUGGUCACAAAAUUAACUGAUUUUGUAGCAAAAAUGUGUUUAGUUUUAAAAUCUUAAGUCAAAACUAAAGAAAAAUAAAACUAAUGAAAAUUGCAAAACUAUUAAAACAGUUAGAGUAAACAUAUUGGCUGUCUCUGUGUCUCUCUGUCUGUCUGCGUCCUUGACACAGUCAGCUCCUUUGUAUGGGCAUGUAGUUCCUGUUACACGUUUUCCUGUUACAGACACAUUUCCCUUUUCUCCAGAGUAAUCGAACUCUUUGUUGAAUUUAACUGUUUUCAUCUAGUCUGCACUUCCACCUAAAUGUAAGUAGAAAGGUUAUAUCCAAGUUACUGAAUGCUAUUUUUAUAGAUGCAGUAAGGAGAACAGAGCACAUUCCACGGGAGCUUCACUCCCAUCUCUGGUGGAGGCAGAAAAAUAGGGAGCCAAGGUCAUAACUCAGGCUCAUUAAGAGUCAGAAAGAAUGUGAAUGCUUAAUCUUGUGGCUAUCGCGCAUUGUAUAUAGCUUCUUUUCUUUGUUUAGUAGCUUUCUGCCUUCACCUAAGGGUGUGCCCUAAGUAUGUGACUCAGGUCUCCAUAAUCGGAGUUUAUUUAAAGAUAAAUAAGAUGAUCCAUUCAUUGCUCGCAGAUCAUGCACUAGACGUAUGUUGCAGUAUUUAGCUUUCUUCAACACUUAAACAAAAUAUCACUUCUUAUCCAUUACCAUUCUCUCGUAUUAAAAAACAAACAAACAAACAAAAACAAACUAAGUUUAACUUUUCUGCUUUGUCACUUAAAACAAAGCAUCGCUCUCAACCCAGCUCUCAGCUGGCUCUGAAAUUAUCAUCAUCAAGCAUGAAGUUGCAUGAAGAGAGCUGUUUCAGAAGUCACAGUAUUCCUCACUCAAGCAACAUCAAGAAACAAACAAAAAACAAAAACAAGUUGCUGAUGGCAUGAACGCUUUACACACAUGAGACAGGAUGCAAAAAGCUGCUGUUAAAAACAGAUCAGGGGUGUGAGGGUGAAAACUGGGUUCUGAACAGCUGCAUGUUCGAGCUUUAAUAGCUGUUUUCCUCCCUCUGAUGUGUCCUCAUGUAGCUCCUGCUCUAAAAAAAAAAAAAAAAAUUAAUACAAAAUAAAAAGUGUAUAUCUUGCUCAUUAGCUUGGUAGUAUAGGUUUGCUCUUUAUCUUAACAAAAUCUCAUCUAGGAUGACAGGUUUACAAGCGGGUCAAGUGUCUCUAUGCACUUAAUUAGUUUACAUAUUUUCUUUAUUUUCUUCAUCUCAUAUGUCAUUAUACUGAAUUUGAGCAAACCUUAAGCUUGAUACAGACUACUUUUAACAAUUAUCCACCUCACAUCACAACUGACUGAGGUGCCUCUUCAUAUUUAAUAUUAUUUCAUUAUUAAUGUUAUUAUCUUUUUAUAUAACAGCAAUAGUAUAUUACAAUAUUUUAUUUGUGUCCACCAAGGGCUGAGGGUGAGCUGCAGUCUCACCCUUUCCCAAGCUGGAGACAUUUUCCUUUUCACACACUUUCUUUGGCUGAACAAUGACACAACCUUAAUAUACCUUAUGCAUCUCUCUUUUUUUUAUUUGAUAUAUUUUGUGUGAAUUAUCUGGUUUCACGCAUUCUAUUCAUUCAGCUUGGUUGUCUUCCCAAUUUUAUUUCAUUGCUUUAAUUUAAGUUAACCUUAAUUUAACCUUUUGUUUAUUCCACUUCAUUCCUCUUUCCAUGCUUUAAAAUAUUACAACUCUUGUGUACGCUUUGUUUUCUUUUUAGCAUCCUUUUCAGUAUUUAUUUCUGCUUGGAGGGUUUCUUAUAAUUUAGUUAAUGCAUUUUCCCUCCCACGUGGGACAUUUAGGUUUUCUUUAGGAUUUCUCCAUCUGUUUGCGCUUAUUUGUCCUGCACCGGGGCAUUUCUUUUCUAACCAUAGUUCAUCUGCAGUCAAUUCAGGCUUUGCGGGUUUAUUUCCCAUUUUUUGGGCUUAGAGUUAUCAAUAAUAUUUUAUUGUAAAUUGCUUAUAAUUUAUUUUGAUUUAUUGUAUUUGGAAACACCUUGUUUUGCUUUUAUUUAUUAAUACUGCCAACAUACACUCUGUGUGACCUUCGCUGAUAUUAGAGUCGGGGGAGGUUAUUAAGGCAGCCUUCUACCCUGGUCUAGACCCAGGGCGGCCUUAAUUUUAUGCGUUGAAGCGCAACCUUUGACCCCUUCUCACCAGUACAUCGGUCAACACAGGAAACAGUAAGAGUGGUGCAGAAACCUGUUGUUUCUAUUCAAAAGGUCACUCACUCCUCAACAACACAUAAACUUCACACGCGGUACUAUAAUCCUAUUUUAAUUGACACGUUCUUUAUUUACCAUUCACUCUUAGAGUGAGAUCCCUUUAUUUUCAUUCACUCGUAAGAGUGAGAUCCCUGACUUCCAACCUUUUAAUUGCGGAACGAGUCUCCCAGGGGACUGCCAGUUCCGUCUUACAGGCGAGUCUUAAUUCCCGACUUCCAGUCCUUAAAGGACGAGUCUUUUCCCGACUUCCAGUCCCUAAGGACGAGUCUUUUCCCGACUUCCAGUCCCUAAGGACGAGUCUUUUCCCGACUUCCAGUCCCUAAGGGACGAGUCUCUUAAGAACCGUGUCAACCUAAAAACCGAUUUUAGCCGCAAUGUGUUCUUGAGUGUUUAUAUUCACCUGGUUCGGACGAAAAUGCCGGUCAGAGAGAAUCCUCCUCGCUCCCUGGGAUCGUGGACCUCUUGCUAAAAACGCUGGCCAACGGCGAAUUCACGUAGUUGGUCUUUACUGUUUCACUGGAAACAGGCUGUCCGGACAGACUUUCAGCGCGGGUUCACGAUUCCAGGAGACGACGAGGUCACUCUGUUGGCUCGAAGGACCAAAUAAAUGUAAGGAGUAAAUAUUUAAACAAGACAUUCUUCAGGCGAAAUAAAGACACUCAAGACAGUUUAGAUGGUAACAACGUGCGCACGCUGGGUGAGUGCUGCUGUCUCAGGCUCACAACCAGCGUAUGCGGCAGUUCUUUAUUUAUAGCGUUUCAGAGUAUGUGUGUGUGUGUGUGAAGUUUAUGAUCUCAGAGUGUGUGUGUGUGAUUCUGAAGAAUGGGCCCCUCUUUGUAUUUGGGAGUGUAGAUAAGAACGUCCUGCUCUCCCCUUCCUGGGAGUGAAACGGCUCGUAGAGAGCCAGGUACAGAGGAGAUGUACUGGGUGAAUCAUAUCUGAGAACACUAUGCCUUUGUCUUUACUUCAGCUUCACUUCUAGUGAAACAGUAAAAUCAUAAAAUACAAUUAAAUAGAAAGAAUAAAUGGGUAAACAACUAUUAACACUAAAAUUAAAGAUAAACUUUCAAUAACAUAUGAAUAGAAGUGGGAAAUCUCUUAACAGGAUCCUUACCCCGAAUUAUAUUCUAUCACAAGAGGAAACAGGAGUUUUCUUAUCUUUGCAGAUAAUAAAAUGUUUAUAUUAAAAGGUUUAUAGUAGCACAAAAAUCUAAAUCAAAUCACAGCAUCAGAUUAGAAGAUAAUGGAAAAG